rnacentral:misc_RNA from 1 species
AGCAGCCGCGGUAAUUCCAGCUCCAAUAGCGUAUAUUAAAGUUGUUGCAGUUAAAAAGCUCGUAGUUGAAUUUCGGGAUCAAGUCGUCGGUCGUGCUCAGGUACGUACUGGCGUCAUUGAUUUCUCCCUUCUGACGAACCAUGAUGUCAUUAAUUUGGUGUCAUGGGAAAUCAGGACUGUUACUUUGAAAAAAUUAGAGUGUUUAAAGCAGGCUCACGCUUGAAUACAUUAGCAUGGAAUAAUGAAAUAGGACGUUCGAUCCUAUUUUGUUGGUUUUUAGGAUCAACGUAAUGAUUAAUAGGGAUAGUUGGGGGCAUUAGUAUUCAAUUGUCAGAGGUGAAAUUCUUGGAUUUAUUGAAGACUAACUACUGCGAAAGCAUUUGCCAAGGAUGUUUUCAUUAAUCAAGAACGAAAGUUAGGGGAUCGAAGACGAUCAGAUACCGUCGUAGUCUUAACCAUAAACUAUGCCGACUAGGGAUCGGAUGAUGUUAAUU